UUAGCCCUUUGUCCUUACUGAGGACAGGUGCAUUUUGUAUUCUUGUUUAUAGCAAAUCUAAUCUAGCUCUCUGUCACUGUAGUAUUUCUACAGAGAAUUUUGAAAGAGUGCUUCAGACCCCAAACCAGUGAGAGACUCUCUAUCCCACAAAGCAUCAUGCACCCAGUUUAUCUUAUGGUUACAUGGGAAAUGCAACCCUAGGGGAGACAAUGGAAGAGAAGAUAGAUUAGUCCUUCAUGAAACUCUCUUUCUCCAUGACAUACUGCCCACUUCCCAGUCCUGGGUUCUAUCCCCUCUCCCCCCAACCCAGCUGCAGCUGAUGACUUUCUGAGCACCUCAGGCAGUGCAAGGAGCAUAGGAAAAGUGACAAGGAAGAAAGGUUCCCUCUUGCUUAGGAGGUAACACACAGGACCGGCUUGCCAUCCAAAUGUCACAGGCCUAUGAGAGGCAGGGGACUCGCUAAUGACAGCGCUGACAAAGACACAGAUGUUGGAGAAGUGUCGGUGCUGUGUCGGAAUGGGGAACAAGCAUCGUCAAGUUCUCAACCACCCCUGCGGCGCUGGUGUUAGCAACUGCUUUUCCUGGAAGGCCUGGGAGACCGGCAGAAUUUGAGCAGGACGGUGCACUAGGAGGGAAUAGGAGAGGACAGCAUGACCGACCCUGGGUCUCUGAUUUCCUCAUGGACCUGAUGAGGUUACUGUGGCUAUAGAUGACUCUGAGACAAGCAAAUUCAUCUGUAAAAGACACCUUUCAUUUCAUGUUUUCUUAGGUUCUUUCAGAGAGAGAGUGAUUGACACACAAGCUGAACUCUGAAAGAGAGAGAAAAUAGAACCGUGGUCUUUGACUUCAAUGCAAAAAGAUUAGGGCUCUUUGUGCUUCAGCAGAAUAAAUGGAAGAUGUCACACCGUUCCAUGCAGUGGAAAGCAAGAAGAGAUCCUCACAACCAUGAUGCAAAUCACUUACAGUUGCUCCCAACAGACUUUCCAAAGGAGGCCAGUGUCGUUAUGCCCAUUUUACAGAUGGAGAAACUGAGGCACAGAGAGGGGAAGUGAUUUGCUCAAGAUCACCCAGAGCUGGGAAUCGGACUCAGUUCUUCCGAGGCCCAGUCUUGGGCUCUAGCCACUUGACAACUAAUGGACACCAAAACAUUCUCAGCAAGCUGCCCAGGACAAGACUCAAACUUGCAGUAUAUGGGACCUGUUUGGAUUCAAGGGUCACAGCAGAUCACUUUGAGAAGCAGAGGGUGGCUGAGUUUGCAGGUGUCCAGUUGAUCUACACAUGCUCAGCGGAGAGCGGUCAUGUUAGAAUGAUGGUACCAGCGCAUGCAGCCAACUGGAAGAGAGCAAUACUGGGAUAGCAAGAGCAGAACAGUUGGAUCCUUGUGCUGGGGGUAAAGUUCGCCAAACCUGAAGACGUUCUUAGCUUGGAGCAAAAGAGCUUGGAUUAAAGAUAGAUCCUGCAGGUCCUGGGUCCACUGGAGACAAGGGGGGAAACUCGUCUAGUGAGGUGGCUGGAGGGCCGAGGUAUGAAGAAGCUCCAGAGUCCCCACAGAGCAAGACCAGCAGUAGGUGUGCAGUAAACAGAAGAAAGUGGCCUGGAAAAAACUACUCCCCAGAGCAGCCAGGAGGCGGUGUCCCUAGCGGUCACAAAUCCAAGAAUUUCAUUCUUCAGAGAUUCAGCACAGGAGAUAGGAAGGCGGCAGCUUUGUUGCCAAGCGUGGGCUGUAGAAAUGGGCUGGUCCUGACUCAUGGAAUCAUAGAAACCAGCAAUGGAAAAGGCCAGACUUCAGGGCAGCUCCACAAGGGUACAAGGAUCCGCACUACUUGAUCCAUUUGCCGGACUGGAGCCCGAAGCUGCAAGUUGUUUGGAACGUGAACUACUCGGAGUCCAUACAACACCUAGCACCAUGAGGAUUUUGUUUCCUUCUAUCUGUACUGGACAAUGUUCAUUUCCUUUGAAACAUCUGGCAUGGGCCACUGUCCGAAGACAGGAUACUGGUGCCAAGGCCUGAAGUUCACCAGCGAGGUCUCCAUCAAAACUGGAGGCACUGCUUUCGCUCAGAGGCCUGUCCGGACCAGGCUCUAGAUCUGCCACGCUGGCUGGCAUGUGACUGUGAAACUGGCAGUGGAACGUGGAAGUCACGGAGGAAAGGCCAGAACUGUACCGACGUCGGGAUCCCGGCUGUGGGUCGACUCUGGAUGCCACAAUGUGCGCUGGAGUCAUGCCGAAGGCACACGCAACAGAUGGUGCUAUGAAGUGGAUCAGAAGGCACGGAGCAGCAGUCAUUAAUCUUCAUUCCCGCAAACCAGCCCGGACCCAGGAGUAUGUAAGGAGCCGGGGCCAGGGAGCAGAGCUGGCUUCCCAGCAGCUACUGAGCAUGUGGCCAAGUCCAAAGAGUCCACGUGAGAGAAAAAGAGGAAGGAGGGAGCAGUUUUAUAACGGCAAUGCGAUUCACAUUCCUACAUAUGGCGAUGAUGGCUGGCACCAAAGAUACUCCUGUGAGCAGGAGCUGGCUCUGCCUGAUAGCAGGUGUUUCUGGCUUCUCCAGAGCAUCAGCUUGCAAUGAUUGCAACCAACUCCUUUGAGUAGCUCAGGUGAACUUACUAUCUCUUCCCCCAGUCCAAGGAACCAAAAAUGGGGCCUUGUCUGCCCAAUUGUGGCUGGGCCUCUAGGGGUCUCAUCCAACCCACAGAGAAACUGAUAGGAUCCUUGUCUUGGCUGUCAUGUGCGCUGGAUUAGGUCCUACAGCGUAACAAGAAGGUUAUUGUGCAUCAAAAAUUAGCUGUACAGGAUAAACCAGCAAACAUGGGAGAAGGACAUCCCCACUUCCACCAGCUCUCACCGCUUUGAAAACAGCCCAGCCCACUGGGGCAAAGUGAAAAACAGACAGCUACAAUCCAGACAUGGCUUUGAGCCUGCUCCCUCAUUUCAUAAUGGCAGGAGUAUUUCAAGAAAGUUUUGUGCAUCCAUCUCUUGGCUUGGUUUGGUUUGAUGUUUGGAGGUGGGUGGGAGUUAAAGAAAGCUGGGGGUGAAAUCCUGGCCCCAUUGAAACCAAUGGGAAUUUUGCUGUUGACUUCGGUGGGGCCCGGAUUUCACCCUGAUCUUUAAUGGAGAAUUGAAAGCCCUGGGGAUGGUUGUCCUCUCACUCUCAUUAGACCCAGUGGGAGUUACAGCUGUCCAACUGGGAAGUAACAGUCUCAAGUUGGAGCUCUGGUCUGAGUUUUGGGUGAAAAUUCAAACUGAAUCUGGUUAAUCUGAGUUGGUUUGCAAACAUGUGACUGGCUAGGAUUUUCCUCUUUGUUAGCACAGACCAUCAGCUAUUGGCAAAAUCCUCUGUGGGACCCUUACCGCCACAGACAAAGUCCUGGGAGCUCAGUAUGUGGUAUUGCCUCUGCCACUAUAAAAUGCAUCUGCUCGGAAAGAUUUUGGCAGGAAACCUUUAAAACAGCAACUCCUGGAAUGAAAUUCUCAGGGGUUGGGGUUGGGAAGCUUUGAUGCCAGAGUUUAGGACAAAACAAACAGGAAUGUGUGACGAGUUCAACAUCUUGUUGAAAUAUUAAUUGUGAAUACUCAUGUAUGGAUCCUGCCCCUUCCAUCUGAGGAUCCCAGUGCAUGUUACACACAGUCUUUGCAGCUUUCAGGCACUUCCCCUAUUUUACAGCUGGGGAAACUGAGGCACAGAAAAGUGACGUGACAUACUACAGGGUCCCACAGAGAAUAGGAUUCAAGAGCCCUGUCUACCAGCCCCCUAAACGAUACUCACUUCCAGCAUUGCUUCUAAGUGUCAGCCCCGUGUGCAAGUGGGCAGUGGCUGCUUUACAAUCUCUGUUGCUGGAGCUCCUCCCAUACUGCCUUUGUCACAAAUACC